ACGUAGGGUGCGAGCGUUAAUCGGAAUUACUGGGCGUAAAGCGUGCGCAGGCGGUUUUGUAAGACAGACGUGAAAUCCCCGGGCUUAACCUGGGAACUGCGUCUGUGACUGCAAGGCUAGAGUGUGGCAGAGGGGGGUAGAAUUCCGCGUGUAGCAGUGAAAUGCGUAGAUAUGCGGAGGAAUACCGAUGGCGAAGGCAGCCCCCUGGGUCAACACUGACGCUCAUGCACGAAAGCGUGGGGAGCAAACAGG
rnacentral:rRNA from 1 species